rnacentral:rRNA from 1 species
UCAAGCUAAUAAGAGCACAGGGUGAAUGCCAAGGCACCAGACGCCGAAGAAGGACGCGAUCAGCUGCGAUAAGCCAUGGUGAGCCGCAAAUAGGCUACGACCCAUGGAUUUCCGAAUGAGGAAACUCAGCGCGGGUAAUGCCGCGUUACCGCAUGAUGAAUCCAUAGUCAUGCGGGGGUAACCCGGGGAACUGAAACAUCUAAGUACCCGGAGGAAGAGAAAUCAACCGAGAUUCCCUGAGUAGCGGCGAGCGAAAGGGGAAGAGGCCAAACCGAUGGACUACGGUCGAUCGGGGUUGUGGACUGGCAUAAGCAACGCGUAGGAUAGCAGAAUCCGUUGGGAAGCGGAAUCAAAGAGGGUAAGAAUCCCGUACGCGAAAUCCGAAACGAGCGGCCAGGAUCCAGAGUACCACAGGACACGAGGAAUCCGGUGGGAAGCCGGGGGGACCACCCUCCAAGCCUAAAUACGUACUGGUGACCGAUAGCGCAUAGUACCGUGAGGGAAAGGUGAAAAGAACCCCGGGAGGGGAGUGAAAGAGAACCUGAAACCCUGUGUUUACAAGCAGAGAAAGCACGUUAAAAGUGCGAUCUCGUACUUUUUGUAGAACGGACCGGCGAGUUACGUUGUGCAGCGAGGUUAAGGACUGAAGGUCCGGAGCCGAAGCGAAAGCGAGUCUGAAUAGGGCGCAGAGUUGCAUGACGUAGACCCGAAACUGGGUGACCUAUCCAUGAGCAGGGUGAAGUGGUGGUAAAACACCAUGGAGGCCCGAACGCACAUCCAUUGAAAAGGGUGGCGAUGACUUGUGGAUAGCGGAGAAAUUCCAAUCGAACUCAGAAAUAGCUGGUUCUCCUCGAAAUAGCUUUAGGGCUAGCCUCGAUAAGAGAUUGGCGGAGGUAGAGCACUGAAUGAGCUAGGGGGCCACAAAGCUUACCGAACUCUAUCAAACUCCGAAUACCGCACAAUCGUUCAUCGGGAGUCAGACGGCGGGAGAUAAGUUUCGUCGUCAAAAGGGAAACAGCCCAGAUCAACAGCUAAGGUCCCCAAGUGUGUGUUAAGUGGGAAAGGAUGUGCAACCGCAGAGACAACCAGGAUGUUGGCUUAGAAGCAGCCACACAUUAAAAGAGUGCGUAAUAGCUCACUGGUCGAGUAGUUGUGCGCCGAAGAUGUAACGGGGCUAAAACACACCACCGAAGCUUUGGGAUCGCCGAAAGGUGAUCGGUAGAGGAGCAUUGUGUGCUGGGUGAAGCGGUACCGAAAGGAGCCGUGGACGGCACAGAAGAGAGAAUGCCGGUAUGAGUAGCGCGAGGCAUGCGAGAAACAUGCCCGUCGAUAGCCUAAGGUUUCCUGGGGAAGGCUCGUCCGCCCAGGGUAAGUCGGGACCUAAGCCGAGGACAGCGGUCGUAGGCGAUGGACAGCAGGUGGAGAUUCCUGCACUACCGAGGAUUGUUUGAGUGAAGCAGUGACACAGAAGGAUAGCCUGAGCAGGGUAAUGGUCAACCCUGUACAAGCGGUGAGGCUGGUGCGUAGUGAAGUACGCGCACUAAGGCUGGGCCGUGAUGUGGAGCGAAAUUGAAGUAGCGAAGCAGGUGAUUUCACACUGGCGAGAAAAGCUGCUGGCGAGAUCUGAGGUACCCGUACCGCAAACCGACACAGGUAGGCAAGGAGAGAAUCCUAAGACGAACGGGAGAACACUUGUUAAGGAACUCGGCAAAAUGACCCCGUAACUUCGGGAGAAAGGGUGCUGCAGAGAUGCAGCCGCAGAGAAGAGUCCCAAGCGACUGUUUAGCAAAAACACAGGUAUCUGCGAAAGCGAGAGCUGACGUAUAGGUGCUGACACCUGCCCGGUGCUGGAAGGUUAAGGGGAACUGUUAGAGCAAUCGAAGCAGAGAACCGAAGCCCCAGUAAACGGCGGCCGUAACUAUAACGGUCCUAAGGUAGCGAAAUUCCUUGUCGGGUAAGUUCCGACCCGCACGAAUGGUGUAACGACUUGGGAGCUGUCUCAACAAGUGGCCCGGUGAAAUUGAAGUAUGUGUGAAGAUGCACAUUACCCGCGACUGGACGGAAAGACCCCGUAGAGCUUUACUGCAGCCUGAUAUUGGAUUUUGGCAACAGAUGUACAGAAUAGGUGGGAGCCGGAGAAGGCAGGACGCCAGUCUUGCCGGAGGCGCCGUUGGGAUACCACUCUUUUGUUGCUGGAGUUCUAACCGUGGUGCGUCAUCCGCAUCAGGGACAGUGUCAGGUGGGCAGUUUGACUGGGGCGGUCGCCUCCUAAAAGGUAACGGAGGCGCUCAAAGGUAUCCUCAGAAUGGAUGGAAACCAUUCGGAGAGCGUAAAGGCAGAAGGAUGCCUGACUGCGAGAUUGACAAAUCGAGCAGAGAGGAAACUCGGACUUAGUGACCCGGCGGUAUGAGAGUGGAAUUGCCGUCGCUCA